rnacentral:rRNA from 1 species
AGCGAGCGCUGGCGGCAGGCCUAACACAUGCGAGUCGAACGAACUCUUCGGAGUUAGUGGCGGACGGGUGAGUAACACGUGGGAACGUGCCUUUUGGUUCGGAAUAACUCAGGGAAACUUGUGCUAAUACCGAAUGUGCCCUUCGGGGGAAAGAUUUAUCGCCAUUAGAGCGGCCCGCGUCUGAUUAGCUAGUUGGUGAGGUAACGGCUCACCAAGGCGACGAUCAGUAGCUGGUCUGAGAGGAUGACCAGCCACACUGGGACUGAGACACGGCCCAGACUCCUACGGGAGGCAGCAGUGGGGAAUCUUGCGCAAUGGGCGAAAGCCUGACGCAGCCAUGCCGCGUGAAUGAUGAAGGUCUUAGGAUUGUAAAAUUCUUUCACCGGGGACGAUAAUGACGGUACCCGGAGAAGAAGCCCCGGCUAACUUCGUG